rnacentral:misc_RNA from 1 species
GAUGAAGAACGCAGCGAAAUGCGAUAAGUAAUGUGAAUUGCAGAAUUCAGUGAAUCAUCGAAUCUUUGAACGCACAUUGCGCCCAUUAGUAUUCUAGUGGGCAUGCCUGUUCGAGCGUCAUUAAGUCCACUUAAGCCCUGCUUAGUGUUGGGAGACUGCUCCAGCGGUGCUACCCUGUAGCUACCCUGCAGCUCCUCAAACACAGCGGCGGAGUUGUGGUAUCCUCUGAGCUUAGUAACUUGUUCUAGCUUUCGAGUACACCACUUCCCCUGCCGUAAAACCCUUAAUUUUUAAUGGUUGACCUCGGAUCAGGUAGGAAUACCCGCUGAACUUAAGCAUAUCAAUAAGCGGAGGA